rnacentral:lncRNA from 1 species
CAAUUAUGUGAUAAUCAUUCCAAGCCCAAUUUUGCUCCAAAAAGCUCUAAAAUGCAUCUUCUUGCAUCCUUUGGCCUUCAAACCUGAAAACACAUAAAACUAGCUUAAAAGACUACUUUAACUAAGAAAACACCAUGGAAAUGCAUAAGAACUAGCUAACUAAGGCGCAUAAAUAUGCUCCUAUCAUAGGUGCCGCAUAUAUACCUUUACCUUGGUGAACUAGGAAUUGUAAUCAUUCUCUAAAACCAUGCCAUGUAUCCUUGUCCAUUUAGGUUCAGAAAUAGGUGCUGGAACAUCCAUUCUAGAAGCCCUAUCCUUUCCCUAAAAACCUGCCGCACCCUUUCUCCCUAUUCUCUUUGGAUUUUUGACUUCUAGAAGAUCUUUUUUCUCCAAGGCGUGUUUAUUAAUUUCCUAUACAAAUUAGGCCUUCAAAUCCUUUUCCUUUGCUACAUAGGGGCCGUGUGUUUUAACCUAUAAAUACUACAUUCUACCGCACAAAUCAUUCACCACCCUCUACCACAAUUCACUACACCAUUCACCAUAAAUCUCUCAUUGUGCCGCAGCUAAGGAAGGAGAAGCAGGAAGAAACUUGGAGCCGUGCUUGCCAUUCAAAAAGAUUGGAAUACUGGAGCGUUCUUAGGUGUAUUCUAUCUUUGAUUUCCAUGUUUCAUUAAAAUUAUCUUUGUUUAAUUGCGAACAUGAGGAACUAAUUUCUUUAUAGUUGGAGGUGAAUUCGAAGCCAUGAUUAUAUGUUUUAUAUGAAUUGAUUUCCUCCAGUUAUUGUUUCAUGAAUCGUGAAUGUGGUUUACUUAUCUGAUUUAUUAAGAACUUGUUCUUGUAUGUUCAUUAAGGUGGCCAACUUAGUUUGCAUGCAUGAAUUUGAUGCUAGAGUAUAAGGGAAUUUCACCUAAUUGUUAUGAACUUAUAUUCAUGAGUAGUAAAAGUCCCUAGUCACGAUUGUGUUAAGUAAAUCCUAGGCAAGAGUAACAUGCUUUUCAUAGUUAUGAAUGCCUCGUCAAUGCUUAUGAUUUUCAAAGAACUUAAUGACAUUUGAUAGGUAUCUCUAUCAUGCAUAUUCCAUAGUUAGGGGAUUUGAGAAGGAUAAUUUGGUUGUGAUGCGUAUACCAUCCAAUUCAAUAAAAUAAGGAAAAUCUAAUGGUUAAUUUGUGCUAUCACGGUUAACUUGGGGUGUUGUCAUUCAUGGUUUAAAGAAAUAAUAACUGGAAAUUGGUUUGUGUUGCAUAUGUCAUGUGUCGAGAAGGAUCCUCUAACUAGCCAUUCACCCAUUUAAUUCAUCAAUUUCGUCCGAAGUAUUUAGAGUCUUUGAUUUUGUUUAGUUUUACUUUAAAUUCGUCAAAAACAAUCCCCCAUUCAUUAAGUCUUGUUAGUUGAGUCUUAAUUUAUUUUCUUUUAGUCUUUUGAGUCAAGUUGAGUCUUAUUUUCGUCCAAAUCACGUUUUAGGUCUAGAAUUGAGUCUUUUUUAUUGUUUCUUGCUGUUUUGAGUUAGUUUUGAGUCUAUAGAGUCUAGUUUAGUGUUUUUGACUCUUAUUUGUGUUGAUUAGCAUCCCUAGUUAAUCCCCGGUCUAGAACGAUCCCUACUUGCUUAAUACUACAAUUGUCAUCAAUAGGGUUUAAUUUGUGUGUCAAGUUAAUUUUCACAUCACCAAGGAGGAUAAGGACUAGAAUACUUGGUAGGUUCCUAGAAGAAAGGAUAGGGACCUAUGCGGCACCUUUUUAGGAAAAUGAUGUGGCUUCUAGAACCAAGUUUUUAGGUAUCCUAGUCUGAAAAUAAUUCCCCGUUGCAGUUGGAAUUUAGCUAAAAUAGGAUUAGGAUAGGGUUAAGAUAAGAUAAGGUUUGUUUGGAUAAUGUUCCUUCCUUUUAGCUGAUUCCUUAUCUUCUAUGCCUUAAAUUAAUAUCUCCAUCUCUUUAGCACAAUCCUAGCCUCUUUUGAUCUUCAAAAACGUCCAUCCAUGUCACUCCAUGCAUGUGCUAUCCAUUCCAAGCUCAAAACUGCUCUAAAACGCUCCAAAUUACUCUUUCUUGACAACUUUGCCAAUUGGACCUACAAAAACAUGAAAAUAGCUUAACUCACUAUAAUAGACAGAAACUAACUCACUAAAUGCAAGGAAACAAACAAGCUAACAAAGUCACAUAAAUAUGCUCCUAUCAAAUUCCCCCACACUUAGCUUUUGCUAGUCCCCGAGCAAAACAAACAAAACAUAACCUAAACCUUCCAACGUUUGCCUCAGGGAUUUCCAAUAAAACAUGACAUGUUAAAAAUCACUACUCCCA